rnacentral:lncRNA from 1 species
AUGCUGAAAUCAAUGGAUUCAUUCAAAGAUCUCCAAUGCCAGAGGCCGCCUCACGAACCUCCGCCGCAAAGGUAUUUUCCCUAAUUCCAAAAUAAAGUUUUUUUCGAUUAGAUUGCAUGCAAAGUUGAUUUGAGUAUAAAAUUUAUUGUUCUAGAGAUGAUAGGUUUAAUUUGGAGAAACAAAUUUAAGAUAUUCUUUGUUCUCCAUGUUUGGUUUGUAUGGCAAAUUUAUGUUUUUCGUACUGCAUUGAUUUGCAUUGAUUCAGAUUUUUAUGAAUCAAACAUUUAUGUACACUAGACUUUGAUUCAUAUCCUUUUUUUUUAAUCAAACAUUUAUAUACGUUAAGAUAUUUUGUAUUUCUCUCUUUGAUUCAUAAAAAAAAAAGAUCGUUGAUUCAGAUCUGCGUCGCAUUACGCUUCUUUUUCUCUUUGAAACCUUUAAAACGAUAUUACUUUGUUUUGGGGGUGCUGAGAUUUAACUAGAUCUCGGUAUCUGAAUUUUGUAAUUUUGGUUUUUUUUUACUGAAUGUUUGUUUAAUCCUAUAUUUAAUUGGAGGAUUAAGAUAUAUUACUAUUUUACCUUAUUUUUUACAGUAAGAUUAUUUUUGAAUAUAACCAUUUCGAUUUCUCCGUGUAACUAUGUAACCACAUGCCAAAUGAACAUUUCUUUGGUAGUUGUUGUUAUAAAGUUAGAUAUGAUCAAAGUUUACUAACUAUCUCUUUUCUUUUUAUUUUGUUGUUGAUAGAGAGAUGUAGAUUCAUCAGAGAUGCAUUUCGAACAAUAUUCGUAACGUCAGCGGCAUAAUGGUAAGAAAUAUUUUCUAACAAAGUUAACUUUUUUCUCGCACAAUGUUUCUCAAAAUAUGUAUCACGAUAAACGAAGUUUAUGAAUUUCCUCUCAUGUUUCUUUUGUUAUUGACUAACCAAUGAAGUUUUACCGGAGGGUAGAGGCAGCAUGAACAUCUUAACAGUGUUCUCGUGAGCGACGCAACAAUGGUAAAACGAAUCUUCUUGAGCAACUCUCUUUGGAAAGUAUAAAUCAUGUUUGGUACAAGUUAUUUAUGAACAAAACUUAAUUUAUUUAUGAUGAACUAUUUUCCUUGUUUUGUACGAUGUAGAAGUCAAUUAUGAUUUGAGUUAAUGAACUUUCGAUUUUAUUCUUAUUUUAUUGUUGAAUGAUGAAAGAGGUGUACCAAAUAAGCAUAUCUAGAAGUAUAUAUAUAUAUAUAUAUAUAUAUAUAUAUAUAUAAAUUGUGCUCACAAGGGUAGAACCAAUCUCACUUAUAUGGAACUUUGACUAGUUAAUUUUUUUCUCGCAUUAUGGUUACAAGGUCAAUACUAAUUCAAAAAACGUUUAUGAAAACUCUCUCAUGUGUCUUUUGACGUUGACCAAUUGAUGAAGUAUGGCAAGUAUUGCUAUCGGAGCAUCUUGAAGAAUUAAUUCUUGUAGAAGGUCCAACUCAGCUUCCUUGAGGCAUUCCACAAAAGGGUAGAAUCGAAUAGAAAAUGUGAUAAUUUACAAACAUUGAUCUCUUCGUAAAAUAGACCUUUUUAUUCUUAUGACUAAUACGAAAAAAAUAAAAAAAUCAUAUCAUUCUUUUUCAAAAAUAGGAAUUUAUUCCAAGAACAAUUGUAAUAUCCCUCUUUGAAUCUGGAUCCAAGGACUCCAAUUUGUUAUCCCUAAUAUGACAUGGCCAACUAAAGAAACAUUAUAAUUUCGCUUGUGACUUAAGUAAAUCCAUUGGACAUAUGCAAAAUUGAUUAUAUAUCCGAUGGUUUGCGUUGAAUCCUACCACAUGGAUGUUGUAGGAUGGCGUUGGGGGGUUUCGAGGAGUCUAUUACGUAUUGGAGCCUUGUGUCGCUUAUUUUUAUUGGAUUUAAUCAACUUUGACAUUUGGUGAAGUGUGAUUGAAUUCUCAGUAUCGUACUUCUUUGAUAGUCUUCUUGCAUUGAAACUAACUACACCUAGUUUCUCUAUAUAACUCAUUCAAUUAUAUUGAGUGUUGUUAUCAAGAUUGCUAGGUGCAAAAAGUUGGUUGCCAUUUCUUUAGUCCGAGGCGCAAGCCGCUAGCCAAGAUGCUAGCGGUAGCCGAAUGAGGCGCAACAUUAUAUAUUUUAUGGUCUAUAUAGGUAGAAAUUAUUCGCUUCAGUCUCUUUGGUUGUCCAUUGUUUUUUUUCUAGCUAUAGUAGCUUCUCUCUUGUUCUUCAUAUUUGCUAUAUCAGUCACAUCACCAAUGUUUCUUGAUUAGAUAUUGUAACUAGUCUAUUUGGUUUAGAUUUUGGCAUUGAUACCGACCAAAUAGAACAAGAUGAUUUGUCUCGAGUGUUUAGCCCAGGAUGUAACUACAUAUGGAUAAACCUUGGAUAGAGGGCGCACCAUAAAAUCCAUGGAAACGGCUUCAGGCCUGGAUGCAUACUGCAUAGGUGAUGACAGUCCAGAUUUAUAGCCCCUUCAAGUUGGAAAAAAACAUAAACAUUGGAUGGGGACCGCACCAAAAAAUCCAUGGAAAUUACUUCAGGCCUGGAUGCAUACCGCCUAUUUGACGUAUGUCUAGAGUUUUGACCGUUCAAGUAGAAAAAUAAAAUAAACUUUGGAAGGAGGCGCACCACAAAAUGUAUAGAAAAUUCUUUAGGUCUGGAUGCAUCCAACCCUUGAACUCGACAAACAAAAAUAAAUAUUUGGAAAUAGGGAGCACCAUAAAAUCCAUCGCAAUUGCUUCAGGCUUGGAUGCAUAUGAUGACUGUCCAGAUAUUUGGCCCAUUAAAGUCAGUAAACAUAGUCAACUUCGGAAGGAGGGCGUACUACAAGAUCCACGGAAACUCGUUGAGGCACGGAACAUACUGUUUACAUGACGACUAGCCAAAUUUUAUUCAAGGGGUCGAACUGAAUAAACUUUGCAUUAAAACUACUUAAGAUCGGGAUGCCUAUUGUUUAGAUAUUCAUUCUUUCGAAAAUUAUUGGAUUUUACUAAGAGAAACAUUAUAUCGUGUAGUAAAAAGUAAGAGAAAUUCAUGUUCAUGUUGUCCAACCACAUAGUUUACAAAUGAUAAUACUAUUUAUAUUUUCUAAAUACAUAAUUAAUUUGAAAUAGAAAAAGCAAGAGAAAUUCAUGUUUCAUGUUUCCUAACCACACAUCUUACUUCUCAUAUUUUACUAUUAGGUUACUUUUUCACGUGCAUCAAAUGCGAAUAUUACCUUAUGUACCAAGAAAAAGAUUAUUCAUUUUUCCUUUUCCAUCCCUUACCAUCGACGCCACUACAAAGAAUCGAAAUCAAAUACAACAAGAUCUCCUAAAAUUAUUAAUUAAAACUAAAAUUUAAUAGGGUAAUUAAUUUUUCGGUAUGUAAUAAUAACGCAUGGCCAUUAGGCUGAGUAAGAAUACAAAUGUAUUUAACAUUCUUUUUGAUUGUACAAUAAAUUUGUGUACACGGUUCACCCUUAUAGUUUGAGAUAGUUUAUAUGCGUCCAAUUUGAAUAUUUUUGAAGAUAAAUAUACAUAUAUUAAAUAUGUUAGUAUUGGAUAAAUCAGCUAACCGGAGUCUCAUAAUUCAGUUUUGUUAAACAAGGAGUACUUAAGAAUGGUGUAUCCCAUCUACUUAUACUUGCUUUACAAUCCGUUAAUUAGAUACCUUGUGCCAUUUAAAAACAAUAUUAAAAAAAAUAUUAAGAAAACAAUACAAUUUGUAUUUGUUAUUUCAAAAUCAAUUUUACAAUAAGAUAAUACUUGGGUUACUGACACACAAAUCCAAAUUACAAAUACAAGCCCAGUGGGCUUUGCAUUUCUCUUAAUGUACCGCCACAUUCCUAGGUUACUACGCCGCUCUCACUAUAUAUAAAGAAAAAACGACUAAAAAAAAUCUCUCCGUCUUUACGCCGACAUAGUGCCCAAAAUGCUGACAUCAAUGGGUUCAUUCAAAGAUCUCCAAUGCCAGAGGCCGCCUCCCGAACCUCCGCCGCAAAGGUAUUUUCCCUAAUUCCAAAAUAAAGUUUUUUUCGAUUAGAUUGCAUGCAAAGUUGAUUUGAGUAUAAGAUUUAUUGUUCUAGAUAUGAUAGGUUUAAUUUGGAGAAACAAAUUUAAGAUAUUCUUUGUUCUCCAUGUUUGGUUUGUAUGGCAAAUUUAUGUUUUUCGUACUGCAUUGAUUUGCAUUGAUUCAGAUUUUUAUGAAUCAAACAUUUAUGUACACUAGACUUUGAUUCAUAUCCUUUUUUUUAAUCAAACAUUUCUAUACAUUAAGAAAUUUUGUAUUUCUCUCUUUGAUUCAUAAAAAAAAAAGAUCUAUGAUUCAGAUCUGCGUCGCAUUAAGCUUCUUUUUCUCUUUGAAACCUUUAAAACGAUAUUACUUUGUUUUGGGGGUGCUGAGAUUUAACUAGAUCUCGCUAUCUGAAUUUUGUAAUUUUUGUUUUUUUUUUACUGAAUGUUUGUUUAAUCCUAUAUUUAAUUGGAGGAUUAAGAUAUAUUACUAUUUUACCUUAUUCUUUACCAUAAGAUUAUUUUUGAAUAUAACCAUUUUGAUUUCUCCGUGUAACUAUGUAACCACAUGCCAAAUGAACAUUUCUUUGAUAGUUGUUGUUAUAAAGUUAGAUAUGAUCAAAGUUUACUAACUAUCUCUUUUCUUUUUAUUUUGUUGUUGAUAGAGAGAUGUAGAUUCAUCAGAGAAUCAUUUCGAACAAUAUUCGUAACGUCAGCGGCAUAAUUGUAAGAAAUAUUUUCUAACAAAGUUAACUUUUUUCUCGCACAAUGUUUUUCAAAAUAUGUAUCACGAUAAACGAAGUUUAUGAAUUUCCUCUCAUGUUCCUUUUGUUAUUGACUAACCAAUGAAGUUUUACCGGAGGGUGGAGGCAGCAUGAACAUCUUAACAGUGUUCUCGUGAGCGACGCAACAAUGGUAAAACGAAUCUUCCUGAGCAACUCUCUUUGGAAAGUAUAAAUCGUGUUUGGUACAAGUUAUUUAUGAACAAAACUUAAUUUAUUUUUGAUGCACUAUUUUCCAUGUUUUUUACGAUGUAGAAGUCAAUUAUGAUUUGAGUUAAUGAACUUUCGAUUUUAUUUUUAUUUUAUUGUUGAAUGAUGAAAGAGGUGUACCAAAUAAGCAUAUCUAGAAGUAUAUAUAUAUAUAUAUAUAUAUAUAUAUAUAUAUAUAUAUAUAUAUAUAUAUAUAUAUAAAUUGUGCUCACAAGGGUAGAACCAAUCUCACUUAUAUGGAACUUUGACUAGUUAAUUUUUUUCUCGCAUUAUGGUUACAAGGUCAAUACUAAUUAAAAAAAAUGUUUAUGAAAACUCUCUCAUGUGUCUUUUGCCGUUGACCAAUUGAUGAAGUAUGGCAAGUAUUGCUAUCGGAGCAUCUUUAAGAAUUUAUUCUUGUAAAAGGUCCAACUCAGCUUCCUUGAGGCAUUCCACAAAAGAGUAGAAUCGAAUAGAAAAUGUGAUAAUUUACAAACAUUGCUCUCUUCGUAAAAUAGACCUUCUUAUUCUAAUGACUAAUACGAAAAAAAUAAAAAAAUCAUAUCCUUCUUUGUCAAAAAUAGGAAUUUAUUCCAAGAAUAUUUGUAAUAUUCCUCUUUGAAUCUGGAUCCAAGGACUCCAAUUUUUAUCCCUAAUAUGACAUGGCCAACUAAAGAAACAUUCUAAUUUUGCUUGUGACUUAAGUAAAUCCAUUGGAAAUAUGCAAAAUUGAUUAUAUAUCCGAUGGUUUGCGUUGAAUCCUACCACAUGGAUGUUGUAGGAUGGCGUUGGGGGCUUUGGAGGAGUCUAUUACGUAUUGGAGCCUUGUGUCGCUUAUUUUUAUUGGAUUUAAUCAACUUUGACAUUUGGUUAAGUGUGAUUGAAUUCUCAGUAUCGUACUUCGCUGAUAGUCUUCUUGCAUUGAAACUAACUACACCUAGUUUCUCCAUAUAACUCAUUCAAUUAUAUUGAGUGUUGUUAUCAAGAUUGCUAGGUGCAAAAAGUUGGUUGCCAUUCCUUUAGCCCGAGGCGCAAGCCGCUAGCCUAGAUGCUAGUGGUAGCCGAAUGAGGCGCAACAUUAUAUAUUUUAUGGUCUAUAUAGGUAGAAACUAUUCGCUUCAGUCUCUUUGGUUGUCCAUUGUUUUUUUUCUAGCUAUAGUAGCUUCUCUCUUGUUCUUCAUAUUUGCUAUAUCAGUCACAUCACCUAUGUUUCUUGAUUAGAUGUUGUAACUAGUCUAUUUGGUUUAGAUUUUGGCAUUGAUACCGACCAAAUAGAACAAGAUGAUUUGUCAAGAGUAUUUAGCCCGGGAUGUAACUACAUAUGGAUAAACCUUGGAUAGAGGGCGCACCAUAAAUCCAUGGAAACGACUUCAGGCCUGGAUGCAUACUGCAUAGGUGAUGACAGUCCAGAUUUAUAGCCCCUUGAAGUAGGAAAAAAACAUAAACAUUAGAUGCGGACCGCACGAAAAAAUCCAUGGAAAUUACUUCAGGCCUGGAUGCAUAACGCCUAUUUGACGUCGGUCCAGAUUUUUGACCGUUCAAGUAGAAAAAUAAAAUAAACUUUGGAUGGAGGCGCACCACAAAAUGUAUAGAAAAUUCUUUAGGUCUGGAUGCAUCCAACCCUUGAACUCGACAAACAAAAAUAAAUAUUUGGAAGUAGGGAGCACCAUAAAAUCCAUUGCAAUUGCUUCAGGCCUGGAUGCAUAUGAUGACUCUCCAGAUAUUUGGCCCAUUAAAGUCAGCAAACAUAGUCAACUUCGGAAGGAGGGCAUACUACAAGAUCCACAGAAACUUGUUGAGGCAUGGAACAUACUGUUUACAUGACGACUAGCCAAAUUUUAUUCAAGGGGUCGAACUGAAUAAAAUUUGCAUUAAAACUACUUAAGAUCGGGAUGCCUAUUGUUUAGAUAUUCAUUCUUUCGAAAAUUAUUGGAUUUUACUAAGAGAAACAUUAUAUCGUGUUGUAAAAAGUAAGAGAAAUUCAUGUUCAUGGUGUCCAAGCACAUAGUUUACAAAUGAUAAUAACAUGAUUUUUAUAUUUUCUAAAUACAUAAUUAAUUUAAAAUAGAAAAAGUAAGAGAAAUUCAUGUUUCAUGUUUCCUAACCACGCAUCUUACCUCUCAUAUUUUACUAUUAGGUUACUUUUUCACGUGCAUCAAAUGCAAAUAUUACCUUAUGUACCAAGAAAAAAGUUAUUCUUUUUUCCUUCUCCAGCCCUUACCAUCGACGCCACUAGAAAGAAUCAAAAUCAAAUACAACAAGAUCUCCUAAAAUUAUUAAUUAAAACUAACAUUUAAUAGGAUAAUUAAUUUUUCGGUAUGUAAGAAUAACACAUGGCCAUUAGGCUGAGUAAGAAUACAAAUGUAUUUAACAUUUUUUUUUAUUGUACAAUAAAUUUGUGUACACGGUUCACCCUUAUAGUUUGAGAUAGUUGAUAUGCGUCCAAUUUGAAUAUUUUUUGAAGAUAAAUAUACAUAUAUUAAAUAUGUCAAUAUUGUAUAAAUCAGCUAACCGGAGUCUCAUAAUUAAGUUUUGUUAAACAAGGAGUACUUAAGGAUGGUGUAUCCCAUCUACUUAUAUUUGCUUUACAAUCCGUUAAUUAGAUACCUUGUGCCAUUUAAAAACAAUAUUAAAAAAAUAUAUUAAGAAAACAAUACAAUUUGCAUUUGUUAUUUCAAAAUCAAUUUUACAAUAAGAUAAUACUUGGGUUACUGACACACAAAUCCAAAUCACAAAUACAAGCCCAGUGGGCUUUGCAUUUCUCUUAAUGUACCGCCACAUUCCUAGGUUACUACGCCACUCUCACUAUAUAUAAAGAAAAAACAACUAAAAAAAAUCUCUCCGUCUCUACGCCGUCAUAGUGCCCAAAAUGCUGACAUCAAUGGAUUCAUUCAAAGAUCUCCAAUGCCAGAGGCCGCCUCCCGAACCUCCGCCGCAAAGGUAUUUUCCCUAAUUCCAAAAUAAAGUUUUUUUCGAUUAGAUUGCAUGCAAAGUUGAUUUGAGUAUAAAAUUUAUUGUUCUAGAGAUGAUAGGUUUAAUUUUGAGAAACAAAUUUAAGAUAUUCUUUGUUCUCCAUGUUUGGUUUGUAUGGCAAAUUUAUGUUUUUCGUACUGCAUUGAUUUGCAUUGAUUCGGAUUUUUAUGAAUCAAACAUUUAUGUACACUAGACUCUAAUUCAUAUCCUUUUUUUUAAUCAAACAUUUAUAUACGUUAAGAUAUUUUGUAUUUAUCUCUUUGACUGAUAAAAAAAAAGAUCGUUGAUUCAGAUCUGCGUCGCAUUAAGCUUCUUUUUCUUUUUGCAACCUUUAAAACGAUGUUACUUUGUUUUGGGGGUGCUGAGAUUUAACUAGAUCUCGGUAUCUGAAUUUUGUAAUUUUUGUUUUUUUUUUACUGAAUGUUUGAUUAAUCCUAUAUUUAAUUGGAGGAUUAAGAUAUAUUACUAUUUUACCUUAUUUUCUACCGUAAGAUUAUUUUUGAAUAUAACCAUUUCGAUUUCUCCGUGUAACUAUGUAACCACAUGCCAAAUGAACAUUUCUUUGGUAGUUGUUGUUAUAAAGUUAGAUAUGAUCAAAGUUUACUAACUAUCUCUUUUCUUUUUAUUUUGUUGUUGACAGAGAGAUGUAGAUUCAUCAGAGAAGCAUUUCGAACAAUAUUCGUAACGUCAGCGGCAUAAUGGUAGGAAAUAUUUUCUAACAAAGUUAACUUUUUUCUCGCACAAUGUUUCUCAAAAUAUGUAUCACGAUAAACGAAGUUUAUAAAUUUCCUCUCAUGUUUCUUUUGUUAUUGACUAACCAAUGAAGUUUUACCGGAGGGUGGAGGCAGCAUGAACAUCUUAACAGUGUUCUCGUGAGCGACGCAACAAUGGUAAAACGAAUCUUCUUGAGCAACUCUCUUUGGAAAGUAUAAAUCGUGUUUGGUACAAGUUAUUUAUGAACAAAACUUAAUUUAUUUUUGAUGCACUAUUUUCCUUGUUUUUUACGAUGUAGAAGUCAAUUAUGAUUUGAGUUAAUGAACUUUCGAUUUUAUUUUUAUUUUAUUGUUGAAUGAUGAAAGAG